rnacentral:rRNA from 1 species
CCGCCCGCCGCGCGNGGCGGGCGGGGCGGGGGCAUAUCAAUAAGCGGAGGAAAAUAAACUUACAAGGAUUCCCCUAGUAACGGCGAGCGAACCGGGACCAGCCCAGCUUGAGAAUCGGGUGGCUUCGUCACCUGAAUUGUAGUCUGGAGAGGCGUCCUCAGCGACGGACCGGGCNUUUNUUCCCUGGAANANGACGCCUGGGAGNGUGAGAGCCCCGUCC